rnacentral:lncRNA from 1 species
AUACAUCCCACCCAGAGAAACGAUCUCGCCUCAGAUGAUACUUGUCAUCUGUGAGACCACCCCUUUAGCUAGAGUUAACCACUUGAGCAGGUUUCAAUUUUGUCUCUGAAAGUAGGAAGCUAUCAGUCUCCCUACAUGACUCGUUCCACCCUUUGUGGAUACUUCUACCUGUAGAAAAAAAGGUUGGCAAACUUGGUGGCAUGGUGAGGACAAAGGGCAUUUUGAAAGAACCAGUGACUGAGGUCAGAGUGGGGAGCUGGUGUUAGCUGUGGGAUUCACUGCAGCGUCCUACCACAAAGGCAAAGAAGAUGAAAAUGCAGCGUGCAGUGCUGGGCUUGAUUCCCAAGUCGCAGUCGGGCUCCCGCUAUGGGUAGGAGGCUUUACACUCAGCCUGGGUCAGCACCGGAGCAUCCAGGCACUUCAGCUCGUCUGGGUAGUCAGCUGUGAGGAUCAGGAAGAGAUCAAAGAAAGUAGAAAUGUGGGUGAGGCCAGAGAAGGAGACAAUAAUCUGGGAUGGAACAUUGAAGAGGAACACUGCCUCUGGAGAGGACUCCAAAACGAGGCCAUGACAGAGGCACCUGAAGAAGACCUCUACAUAGGCCUCAGAUAAAGAGACCUAAGAAUGGAGGAUCCUGAGCUGGCAAUAUAAAUAUGCACAAGGGCGUGACCAGCCAGGGGGUCCUUGACUGCAACUCCCUUCAAAGACUGCAAUGCAUUGGCUGUGAACCAAGUCUGGGGUGGGCAGAACAGCCUCUCCACACCCUGUAAGCCUGCCAGAAGUUGGAGCAAGUUUUAGUCAUGGAGAAAGGAGGAUGAAACUAAGGCUAUGGCUAUUACCUACAAAGAAGCAGUUACCAGUUGCCACCUCAGCAUACAUUAGAGUGAAAGGACAUCUCUGGACUUCAAAGGAGUGUCUUUUGGAAGACAAUUCUUGGUCUGCUACUGGGCCUUAGUAGAGACUGAAUGUUUGACCAUUGGCUGCCAAGUUACCAUGCAACCUGAGCUGCCCAUCAUGAACUGACUGUUAUCUGAUCCACCAAGUCAUAAAAUUUGGCAUACACAGCACUCCAUCAUCAAAUGGAAAUAGUACAUACAUGAUCUGGUUGGAAUAGGCCCUGAAGGCACAUAUGCAAGACAUUGUGAUUUUGACCUUGUUGGAUGCUGCACCUAAAGGUGGAUGGAAGAGGAAGAGUCUUGGGGGCUACCAUCCUGGCUGGAGAAGCUGGCACGAGGCUCCCUCUUGUGGAUGCAGCAAGGACUGUUAAAAAUCUCCCAAGGCAGAGACUUUUAGGCCUACAUGUACUUAGCCUCCUCUUCCCACCUCCUGUUCAUCUCUGUUUCCAAUGUUCCACUGCCAUCACUGCCAGGAAGUUCUGCAGAGAAGAAUGAAGAAGAACCGUAUGAUCCUAAACAUGUUCUUUGAAGAUAUUAUCAACCCACCAUUGGCCUUAUUUACUGGAAUGUUUUUAUAACCUUUAUUUGACACCUCUUCCCAUCAUUUAAAAUAAAUCUGGUGCUUCCCUGAAUAA